GAACGAACUCUGGUAUUGAUUGGUGCUUGCAUCAUGAUUUACAUUUGAGUGAGUGGCGAACUGGUGAGUAACACGUGGGAAACCUGCCCAGAAGCGGGGGAUAACACCUGGAAACAGAUGCUAAUACCGCAUAACAACUUGGACCGCAUGGUCCGAGCUUGAAAGAUGGCUUCGGCUAUCACUUUUGGAUGGUCCCGCGGCGUAUUAGCUAGAUGGUGGGGUAACGGCUCACCAUGGCAAUGAUACGUAGCCGACCUGAGAGGGUAAUCGGCCACAUUGGGACUGAGACACGGCCCAAACUCCUACGGGAGGCAGCAGUAGGGAAUCUUCCACAAUGGACGAAAGUCUGAUGGAGCAACGCCGCGUGAGUGAAGAAGGGUUUCGGCUCGUAAAACUCUGUUGUUAAAGAAGAACAUAUCUGAGAGUAACUGUUCAGGUAUUGACGGUAUUUAACCAGAAAGCCACGGCUAACUACGUGCCAGCAGCCGCGGUAAUACGUAGGUGGCAAGCGUUGUCCGGAUUUAUUGGGCGUAAAGCGAGCGCAGGCGGUUUUUUAAGUCUGAUGUGAAAGCCUUCGGCUCAACCGAAGAAGUGCAUCGGAAACUGGGAAACUUGAGUGCAGAAGAGGACAGUGGAACUCCAUGUGUAGCGGUGAAAUGCGUAGAUAUAUGGAAGAACACCAGUGGCGAAGGCGGCUGUCUGGUCUGUAACUGACGCUGAGGCUCGAAAGUAUGGGUAGCAAACAGGAUUAGAUACCCUGGUAGUCCAUACCGUAAACGAUGAAUGCUAAGUGUUGGAGGGUUUCCGCCCUUCAGUGCUGCAGCUAACGCAUUAAGCAUUCCGCCUGGGGAGUACGGCCGCAAGGCUGAAACUCAAAGGAAUUGACGGGGGCCCGCACAAGCGGUGGAGCAUGUGGUUUAAUUCGAAGCUACGCGAAGAACCUUACCAGGUCUUGACAUACUAUGCAAAUCUAAGAGAUUAGACGUUCCCUUCGGGGACAUGGAUACAGGUGGUGCAUGGUUGUCGUCAGCUCGUGUCGUGAGAUGUUGGGUUAAGUCCCGCAACGAGCGCAACCCUUAUUAUCAGUUGCCAGCAUUAAGUUGGGCACUCUGGUGAGACUGCCGGUGACAAACCGGAGGAAGGUGGGGAUGACGUCAAAUCAUCAUGCCCCUUAUGACCUGGGCUACACACGUGCUACAAUGGAUGGUACAACGAGUUGCGAACUCGCGAGAGUAAGCUAAUCUCUUAAAGCCAUUCUCAGUUCGGAUUGUAGGCUGCAACUCGCCUACAUGAAGUCGGAAUCGCUAGUAAUCGCGGAUCAGCAUGCCGCGGUGAAUACGUUCCCGGGCCUUGUACACACCGCCCGUCACACCAUGAGAGUUUGUAACACCCAAAGU
rnacentral:rRNA from 1 species